UACGAAGGGGGGCUAGCGUUGCUCGGAAUGACUGGGCGUAAAGGGCGCGUAGGCGGAUGGCACAGUCAGAUGUGAAAAUUCCCCGGGCUUAACCUGGGGGGCUGCAUUUUGAUACGUGUUGUCUUGAGUUCGGAAGAGGGUCGUGGAAUUCCCCAGUGUAGAGGUGAAAAUUCGUAGAUAUUGGGAAGAACACCGGUGGCGAAGGGCG
rnacentral:rRNA from 1 species